GAUGAACGCUAGCUACAGGCUUAACACAUGCAAGUCGAGGGGAAACGGCAUUGAGUGCUUGCACUCUUUGGACGUCGACCGGCGCACGGGUGAGUAACGCGUAUCCAACCUUCCCAUUACUGUGGGAUAACCUGCCGAAAGGCAGACUAAUACCGCAUAGUCUUCGAUGACGGCAUCAGAUUUGAAGUAAAGAUUUAUCGGUAAUGGAUGGGGAUGCGUCUGAUUAGCUUGUUGGCGGGGUAACGGCCCACCAAGGCUACGAUCAGUAGGGGUUCUGAGAGGAAGGUCCCCAACAUUGGAACUGAGACACGGUCCAAACUCCUACGGGAGGCAGCAGUGAGGUAUAUUGGUCAAUGGACGGAAGUCUGAACCAGCCAAGUAGCGUGCAGGAUGACGGCCCUAUGGGUUGUAAACUGCUUUUGUAUGGGGAUAAAGUUAGGGACGGGUCCCUAUUUGCAGGUACCAUACGAAUAAGGACCGGCUAAUUCCGUG
rnacentral:rRNA from 1 species